rnacentral:rRNA from 1 species
UCAUCCCUUGACGGUAUCUAACCAGAAAGCCACGGCUAACUACGUGCCAGCAGCCGCGGUAAUACGUAGGUGGCAAGCGUUGUCCGGAUUUAUUGGGCGUAAAGCGAGCGCAGGCGGUUUCUUAAGUCUGAUGUGAAAGCCCCCGGCUCAACCGGGGAGGGUCAUUGGAAACUGGGAGACUUGAGUGCAGAAGAGGAGAGUGGAAUUCCAUGUGUAGCGGUGAAAUGCGUAGAUAUAUGGAGGAACACCAGUGGCGAAGGCGGCUCUCUGGUCUGUAACUGACGUUGAGGCUGGAAAGCGUGGGGAGCGACCAGGAUUAGAUACCUUGGUAGUCCACGCGGUAAACGAUGAGUGUUAAGUGUUGGAGGGUUUCCGCCCUUCAGUGCUGCAGCAAACCCAUUAACCAUUCCCCCUGGGGAGUACGACCGCAAGGUUGAAAUUCAAAGGAAUUGACGGGGGCCCGCCCAAGCGGUGGACCAUGUGGUUUAAUUGGAAGCAACGGGAAGACCCUUACCAGUUCUUGACAUCCUUUGACCACUCUAGAGAUAGAGCUUCCCCUUGGGGGGCAAAGUGCCAGGUGGUGCAUGGUGGUGGUCAGCUCGUGUCGUGAGAUGUUGGGUUAAGUCCCGCAACGAGCGCAACCCUUAUUGUUAGUUGCCAUCAUUUAGUUGGCCAUUCUAGCGAGACUGCCGGUGCCAAACCGGAGGAAGGUGGGGAGGACGUCAAAUCAUCAUCCCCCUUAUGCCUUGGGCUCCCCACGUGUUCCAAUGGGAAGUACAACGAGUUGGGAAGUCGGGAGGUUAAGUUAAUUUCUUAAAGCUUUUUUCAGUUCGGAUUGUAGGCUGCAAUUCGCCUCCAGGAACCCGGAAUCGUUAGUAAUCGGGGAUCACCACGCCGCGGGGAAUACGUUCCCGGCCCUUGUCCACCCCCCCCGUCCCACCACGAGAGUUGUACCACCGGAAGUCGGUGAGGUACCCUUUGGAGCCAGCCGCC